GUCAGGGGCGUCAAGAGCCAGCACGGGCCUUGGGACAAACAUCUUCGCCGAUAAAUGAAAAUAAAAAAUUACAUGUGCACGUUGUUGGGAGAAGAUCAAGUAUGAAAUCAAUGGAUCAAGUACUGGAAUUUGAACUUUUAUCGGGGACUGAAUUGUUAAAGAUAUGAUUUGAUCUCGUCUUAAAGAUUCAGAGCAAAUUCCUUGCGAUAUGGAGCCAAUGGAGUCAAGCAAUGAGUAGCUAUGUUUCUUUUUCCACAA